GCCCUCCUCGUCAACCCAGCGAGCUUCCUCUCCGCCGAGCGAAGCGGCCUCCUGGACCCGGCCCGCGAUCUCACCAUUCCCGCCUCCGCCGGCAACGAGGAGGAGUACAUCAAGGUCUCCGAGCCCAUUCUGGGUGGCGAAGGUGAAGACGCCUCUCUUGCUCGGGCUGCCUGUGACAAAUUGAUUCCAGAGAUGACCCUAGAAGUUGAUACAGAUUAUGUGAUGCUUGAACCCCAAACGUGGGCGGAAAGCGGGGAAUGGAAAGCCAGAGCGACUGACGAGGAAAGACGCAAGUACGCGUCGUGGAGGAAUGGUCGGCGCCAAGGACGGUCGCCUACAUCCUACCAUGUAGGUGCCAGGCAUUCCUAUAUGCCGCUGCCGCCAUAUAAACUCUCUUCAGUCCGAGAAGGAACUUUCCGGGUGUUUUUUUUUUUUUUUUUGUCAUGUCUGGGAAGGGAUAUGAGCUUAUCUGAGAUGGGAAUAUGGGAUAUGAGCUUAUCUGGGAUUCGAGUGAAUCUUGCGACAAAGUGAAAGAAGUGGAUUUUCGUUUGCAAUACACUAAUAUCUUUUUUUCAUUGUUA